rnacentral:pre_miRNA from 1 species
UUAAUUCAAAUUUGUAUGGAGUUGGAACGUUUGCCGCUAGGGGCGCUGUUCUAACUGCAUACAAAUUUGAGUUA